rnacentral:rRNA from 1 species
UACGGGGGGGGCAAGCGUUGUCCGGAAUCAUUGGGCGUAAAGCGCGUGUAGGCGGCUUGGUAAGUCCGCUCUGAAAGCCCGGGGCUCAACCCCGGGAGGCGGGUGGAUACUGUCAAGCUCGAGUCCGGAAGAGGCGAGUGGAAUUCCUGGUGUAGCGGUGAAAUGCGCAGAUAUCAGGAGGAACACCAAUGGCGAAGGCAGCUCGCUGGGACGUGACUGACGCUGAGACGCGAAAGCGUGGGGAGCAAACAGG